GAGAGAGAAGACAAGAACUGCUAAUUCAUGCCACCAUGAUUGAACCCAUGGCUCCCUC
rnacentral:tRNA from 1 species